rnacentral:rRNA from 1 species
UACGAGAGGUGCAAGCGUUAUUCGGAAUCAUUGGGCGUAAAGGGUGCGUAGACGGCAUUGUAAGUCUGUUGUUAAAAUUCUUGGCCUAACUGAGAGUCUGCAACGGAAACUGUUUUGCUAGAGGGUGAGAGAGAGAAGUGGAAUUCUCGGAGUAGCGGUCAAAUGCGUAGAUCUCGAGAGGAACACCGAUGGCGAAGGCAGCUUCUUGGCUCAUUUCUGACGUUGAGGCACGAAAGCGUGGGGAGCAAACAGG